UACGAAGGGGGCGAGCGUUGUUCGGAUUUACUGGGCGUAAAGGGCGCGCAGGCGGCUCAUUUUGUCAGGCGUGAAAGCCCCGGGCUUAACCUGGGAACUGCGUUUGAUACGGAUGGGCUAGAGUUCGGGAGAGGAGAGUGGAAUUCCCAGUGUAGAGGUGAAAUGCGCAGAUAUCAGGAGGAACACCGGUGGCGAAGGCGGGUCUCUGGCCCGGUACUGACGCUGAGGUGCGAAAGCGUGGGGAGCAAACAGG
rnacentral:rRNA from 1 species